rnacentral:lncRNA from 1 species
AAGCUCUUUGUGACGCUAUCUAGAAAUAUCAUAAGAGAAGAAAGAUCGUAGCCUAGUUCGAAUGAAAGGUAGGGCAUAAGGCUAUCCGUGAGUUCACAGGUGUGAUUGCUUAUCCCCUUUUCUUCAUUAAGAUUGGGUGAGUCGUCAUUGACUGGCCUUUCUCUUGUUGUUGUCAGGUGCCUGCAGCUGCAAUUAUUUCUUUAUGCAUCUUUCUCCCAUGCUUUCCGUUGGCCAACAAUCAACA